GGGGAAUAUUGCGCAAUGGGGGAAACCCUGACGCAGCAACGCCGCGUGAAGGAUGAAGGCUCUCGGGUUGUAAACUUCUUUGAUUAGGGACGAAUAAAUGACGGUACCUAAAAAACAAGCCACGGCUAACUACGUGCCAGCAGCCGCGGUAAUACGUAGGUGGCAAGCGUUAUCCGGAAUUACUGGGUGUAAAGGGCGUGUAGGCGGGGAUGUAAGUCAGAUGUGAAAUUCCACUGCUCAACGGUGGCGCUGCAUCUGAAACUAUAUCUCUUGAGUACUGGAGAGGAAAGUGGAAUUCCUAGUGUAGCGGUGAAAUGCGUAGAUAUUAGGAGGAACACCAGUGGCGAAGGCGGCUUUCUGGACAGUAACUGACGCUGAGGCGCGAAAGCGUGGGGAGCAAAC
rnacentral:rRNA from 1 species